rnacentral:rRNA from 1 species
AGCUCCAAUAGCGUAUAUUAAAGCUGUUGCAGUUAAAAAGCUCGUAGUUGGAUCUCGGAUUUGGGCUUGCGGUCCGAUGUCUUCGGUUUACUGCUCGUCUCGAUCUACCCGCCGGUCUUCCCCGGGUGCUCUUAGCUGAGUGCCUCUGGUUACCGGAACGUUUACUUUGAAAAAAUUAGAGUGUUCAAAGCAGGCUCACGAGCCUGAAUAAUGGUGCAUGGAAUAAUGGAAUAGGACCUCGGUUCUAUUUUGUUGGUUUUCGGAACUCGAGGUAAUGAUUAAGAGGGACGGACGGGGGCAUUCGUAUUACGGUGUUAGAGGUGAAAUUCUAGGAUCGCCGUAAGACGGACGGCUGCGAAAGCGUUUGCCAAGCACGUUUUCU